GUGCUCGCUUCGGCAGCACAUAUACUAAAAUUGGAACGAUACAGAGAAGAUUAGCAUGGCCCCUGCGCGAAGCUUGCUAAGGAGAGAGCUGGGCUUUCCAAGUUACC
ensembl:snRNA Gm22351 predicted gene, 22351